AUACGUAGGGGGCGAGCGUUGUCCGGAAUGACUGGGCGUAAGGGUACGUAGGCGGCUAGGUAAGUCAGAUGUGAAAGGCAUGGGCUCAACCCGUGUUAGCAUUUGAAACUGCUUAGCUUGAGUCAAGGAGAGGAAAGUGGAAUUCCUGGUGUAGCGGUGAAAUGCGUAGAUAUCAGGAGGAAUACCAGUGGCGAAGGCGACUUUCUGGACUUAGACUGACGCUGAGGUACGAAAGCGUGGGGAGCAAACAGGAUUAGAUACCCUGGUAGUCCACGCCGUAAACGAUGAGUGCUAGGUGUCGGGGCGUAAGCUUCGGUGCCGGAGUUAACACAUUAAGCACUCCGCCUGGGGAGUACGUUCGCAAGAAUGAA
rnacentral:rRNA from 1 species